rnacentral:rRNA from 1 species
AAAUUGAAGAGUUUGAUCAUGGCUCAGAUUGAACGCUGGCGGCAGGCCUAACACAUGCAAGUCGAACGGUAACAGGAAGCAGCUUGCUGCUUCGCUGACGAGUGGCGGACGGGUGAGUAAUGUCUGGGAAACUGCCUGAUGGAGGGGGAUAACUACUGGAAACGGUGGCUAAUACCGCAUAACGUCGCAAGACCAAAGAGGGGGACCUUCGGGCCUCUUGCCAUCAGAUGUGCCCAGAUGGGAUUAGCUUGUUGGUGAGGUAACGGCUCACCAAGGCGACGAUCCCUAGCUGGUCUGAGAGGAUGACCAGCCACACUGGAACUGAGACACGGUCCAGACUCCUACGGGAGGCAGCAGUGGGGAAUAUUGCACAAUGGGCGCAAGCCUGAUGCAGCCAUGCCGCGUGUAUGAAGAAGGCCUUCGGGUUGUAAAGUACUUUCAGCGGGGAGGAAGGUGUUGUGGUUAAUAACCGCAGCAAUUGACGUUACCCGCAGAAGAAGCACCGGCUAACUCCGUGCCAGCAGCCGCGGUAAUACGGAGGGUGCAAGCGUUAAUCGGAAUUACUGGGCGUAAAGCGCACGCAGGCGGUCUGUCAAGUCGGAUGUGAAAUCCCCGGGCUCAACCUGGGAACUGCAUUCGAAACUGGCAGGCUUGAGUCUUGUAGAGGGGGGUAGAAUUCCAGGUGUAGCGGUGAAAUGCGUAGAGAUCUGGAGGAAUACCGGUGGCGAAGGCGGCCCCCUGGACAAAGACUGACGCUCAGGUGCGAAAGCGUGGGGAGCAAACAGGAUUAGAUACCCUGGUAGUCCACGCCGUAAACGAUGUCUACUUGGAGGUUGUGCCCUUGAGGCGUGGCUUCCGGAGCUAACGCGUUAAGUAGACCGCCUGGGGAGUACGGCCGCAAGGUUAAAACUCAAAUGAAUUGACGGGGGCCCGCACAAGCGGUGGAGCAUGUGGUUUAAUUCGAUGCAACGCGAAGAACCUUACCUGGUCUUGACAUCCACAGAACUUUCCAGAGAUGGAUUGGUGCCUUCGGGAACUGUGAGACAGGUGCUGCAUGGCUGUCGUCAGCUCGUGUUGUGAAAUGUUGGGUUAAGUCCCGCAACGAGCGCAACCCUUA